rnacentral:rRNA from 1 species
AGUGGGGAAUAUUGCACAAUGGAGGAAACUCUGAUGCAGCAACGCCGCGUGGAGGAUGACGCAUUUCGGUGUGUAAACUCCUUUUAUAUAGGAAGAUAAUGACGGUACUAUAUGAAUAAGCACCGGCUAACUCCGUGCCAGCAGCCGCGGUAAUACGGAGGGUGCAAGCGUUACUCGGAAUCACUGGGCGUAAAGCGCAUGCAGGCGGUUUAUUAAGUUGGAAGUGAAAUCCUAUGGCUCAACCAUAGAACUGCUUCCAAAACUGAUAAACUAGAGUCUGGGAGGGGAAGAUGGAAUUAGUAGUGUAGGGGUAAAAUCCGUAGAGAUUACUAGGAAUACCAAAAGCGAAGGCGAUCUUCUGGAACAGUACUGACGCUGAGAUGCGAAAGCGUGGGGAGCAAACAGGAUUAGAUACCCUGGUAGUCCACGCAGUAAACGAUGAAUGUUAGUCGUUGGGACUCUAGUAGUUUCAGUGAUGCAGUUAACACAUUAAACAUUCCGCCUGGGGAGUACGGUCGCAAGAUUAAAACUCAAAGGAAUAGACGGGGACCCGCACAAGUGGUGGAGCAUGUGGUUUAAUUCGAAGAUACGCGAAGAACCUUACCUAGCCUUGACAUACUACAGAAUUUGACAGAGAUGUUGAAGUGCCUUCGGGAGCUGUAAUACAGGUGCUGCACGGCUGUCGUCAGCUCGUGUCGUGAGAUGUUGGGUUAAGUCCCGCAACG